rnacentral:sRNA from 1 species
GUUGGAAAUUUCGUAAACAUUUUGGCGGCCGUACUAACAAAAUUUAAUGAAGUCUUAAAAAUAGUUCUACAAAAGAAAAAAAUAUGUAAUCGCCGGUUAAUAUCGAUGAUUAAGUUUUGGUGCUGAUUUUUAAAGAAAAUGUUGUCAACACUUGACAAUAAAAUGUCAAUGACAUUUAAGUUUCCUGAGGAUUUUAAUAUUGAUGCUAUUCUUCUUAUCUCCUCACCCCCCACCAAUCCCGUCUGCCAUAUACUCGUAGAGUCCAUUUUUAUUAGUUAUGAGGACGUGGCGGCGAAUGAGUAACAAUUAAUUCGAUAUUAAUCAUACGCGCCUUAUGUCAUAAAAUGAAUGCAAACAAGCAGCAAAACUAACGUCAACAAAACGUGGAUAAUGUAACGUUAACCUGGAUUUCUUGCAAAAGGACUCUUGCCGGUGUGGCAUAAUAUGGCUGGGGAGGCAUGCAAUACAACACCACAUCGCAUCGGUAUAACAAUGACGGCAACAACAACAACAACCCUAUAUAUGAAUGAACAGAUCUCUCCCCCAAAAAACAACUUGACAAGCCUACGUUUCAUCAAAAACAAUGUGCCUAUACAAAUGUUCACACGGUAUUGUAUUAUGCAUGCAGUGUAUAUAAGGGGAGAGUUCGUCACAAAAGGAAAAUAGCAUUAAAUUCUAUCUGCAAUAUAUUAGUCAAAGAUGUGCAGAGUUUAAAUAAAACAAGUUCUAAAUUUCAGCAAAAUAA